rnacentral:misc_RNA from 1 species
UUUAUUUUGGAUUAAUAUAUCCUCUCAAAUCAUCUGUCAUAUUAGGAUGAUUGAUCCUUCCUGAUACGGUUAACCAACAUCUUUGAAAGUUCAAAUUUUAUUUUUAUGAAAAUUUUAAGAUUGAAGUUAAAUGUGGGGAACAUGAUAUAAUAAUUACGGCCACUGGUCAUGUUUCCACUCAUUCAGAUCCAUCUUUUUCUCUGAAUGAAGGCAAAUCAUAAUUACUAAUGAUAAAAUCUUUGAUGAAAACGACAUAUUACCUGAACUGAUUUGUGAGAGGGAGCUUAGACAAUACAGUCUCCUUCACCGGAGGAUCAUAAAAGACCCCUUCAACCUCCACGACUCCAUCAUCAGGAAGC